rnacentral:rRNA from 1 species
ACAUGCAAGUCGAGGGGUAACGGAAGUAGCUUGCUACUAGACGACGACCGGCGCACGGGUGAGUAACGCGUAUGUAAUCUGCCUUGUACAGAGGGAUAGCCCAGAGAAAUUUGGAUUAAUACCUCAUAGUAUUACCGAAUCGCAUGAUUUGGUAAUUAAAGCUCCGGCGGUACAAGAUGAACAUGCGUGACAUUAGCUAGUUGGUAAGGUAACGGCUUACCAAGGCUACGAUGUCUAGGGGUUCUGAGAGGAUGAUCCCCCACACUGGUACUGAGACACGGACCAGACUCCUACGGGAGGCAGCAGUGAGGAAUAUUGGUCAAUGGACGCAAGUCUGAACCAGCCAUCCCGCGUGAAGGAUGACUGCCCUAUGGGUUGUAAACUUCUUUUAUAUGCAAAUAAACCUACUUUCGUGAAAGUAGCUGAAGGUAGCAUAUGAAUAAACACCGGCUAACUCCGUGCCAGCAGCCGCGGUAAUACGGAGGGUGUAAGCGUUAUCCGGAUUUAUUGGGUUUAAAGGGUACG